GGCUUGAUAGUGUAGAGGUUUAACAUACGUGCUUUGGGUGCACGUGGCCCGGGUUCGAAUCCCGGUCAAGCCC
rnacentral:tRNA from 1 species